GUAACUAACCAAAAGAUAAGGGAAUAAAACUUCUGCAAAAACAACAGGGGAUAAAACCCUGAGUAUGGAAUUACUCAGCAAGACUUACCCGACUAAAGAAAAGACUCUCAAGGGUAUGCUAGCUGAUUGGGAAUCAAGGUAAAGUGUAUCAAUGAUCAAAGACUCUUUUUUUGCAGAAAAGCUUGCUACCAGUUGAUCCUUAAGCCAAGUUUUAUUUCACUAGUUAGGUUAUUACCUAAAUCUAUAUUUGCCUGGUCUAGUUCAAGCACUUGGCCUAUACUAGUUGCAUUUUAUUCAUUCUCAUAUUUCACUUGCUAACUACGAUGAUGGUCACCAGGAUGAGUCUCCAUAACCGAGGAGCAACGACGAUUCGAACCGAUUAUACCCAGCUGGGGAUCUCUAACCACACGACAUAUGUAGCACUUAACCCUUGCAUAUGUCAACCGUUCCCACGGAGUCCUCCACUACAUGAACAGGUCCACGCCACCUGAGAGCACAUUACCUACCAGGCGUGCGCUGUGCCAGGAGGGUACAUGCUACUCUCGCCAUCUCUCCACUCCUAGUGCAUGAUUGUCUCUUCACGUAUGGAAUAGUCGGGUUCAAGCUUACCCUGUCCCAUACCAGGGUAUGUGGCUAGUUGCAAAGUCUCAACCACAACAGGCCAGUCAACGGUACGGUCCUUAAUCAACACAGACGGGCGACCAUGUCAGCUCAGCGUCUGGUCUCGAUUUAUUCAAACCAUUUCCCCAUUUUUGGUACCCGGCAGGGGUACUCUUUUCGAAUGAUGAACCCAUCCGGAGCCUUGAUGGACUCAUCAUCAUAAGUUUUCUUUCACUUUUGAAUCAAAAGCCCAUAACCAAUGUUACACAUUAUUCUUUUGAAAAACAAAUGAUUUUUGAGUUUCUAAGCAGGACUAAGCAGUAAUAAUUCUUUUUAUGAAACAGGGAUUUAGGAAUUUUCAAGGAAUGAUAAUGCAUCAAUUGUUUAUCACAUAACUCCUAUCACCUAAUGCAUCAUAUCAGGUGAUAAAGCAUUUAAAACGCAAGGAAGGGGCAAAUGCACCGGGGCUUGCCUUAUUACAGUAGGAAAUCUGAGAUCUUCUAUUACGAUAAGCAGUUAGAUGGAAUCCACCACUGGAUCAGCAGAACUAGAACAGGCUCCUUCUUCACAAAUCACUUCUUCUUGGUACUCUAUAUGAAAUGUCAUGAUUAUGAAUGCCUGUGUCUAUGCUACUAGCAAGGAAGGUAUUACGAAGCAUUACGAAAUUACAAUUACAAGCUAUCACCAAAAGCCAUAACUACCAGGGAGCUACUUAUCCUUAGAACUCAUCUAACCAUCCAAAACAUGCUAAACAACUUCAUUUUACACGAACACAUUAGAUGCCCAUUUUUCUCGGACUUUCUCCCACAUUUACGUAUAUAUCCGAACCAUACCUGCUCUAACACGCGGAAAGCCGAUGAAGCGAGAGAACCACAUGGAGAAAGUAUGCCGAGCAUGACGGCCUGCUGGGCAUGAGGAACUGCAUGAGAAGACGACACUAAUAAAUACUAAGUACACGGCCGACAAUUCCAAACAUAUAAAAAUCGACGACGUACCAGCGAGACAGGCAGCUAGCAGCUUUACGAUGACACCGCGAGCACGACGAGGUCGGAAGAGAGGCUGUGGGUCAAGGAAAUCAACGACGCGAAGGAGCUGCGAGGUUGAGCGUGGCCGAUGAGGAGACAACAACCAUGAGCAUGUUGCAGCUCACAGCAUGAUGGGGAACUGCGGCAAGCACAACAAGCAAGGCUGCACGACGAGCGUCGGCACGGCGUGGAAGCUGCAGGACGACGUCAGCCCUCACCAACGAGGUCGGCGGAUGGCAAAGCGUGGAGUUGGAAGACGGUACCAGGCCGGCGAGCUGGAACGUGUGCGAUGGAGCAGCGACAGAUGGUCGGUCGAGCGCGUGAGGAAGCAGCUCAAGGCAUGGAAGAGCAGCAACAGCGCCCAAGCCAGCGUGAGAAGGGAGCUCGCGUCCAGGCUCAGUAUCUGGGACUUGAGCACAGGGUACAAGGCGAAGGCGAGUGCUAUGCGCUAUGCGUGAGAGUUCAAUUGGAGCACGUUCACUGAAAGAAAUAUCUGAAGCCGAGAUAGAGAGAGAGACGUGAGAGAUUUCUAGAGAGUGUACGUGUGCACCGGAUAAAAGAGAGAACGUUGAGAGAUGCAACUAGAAUGGAUAGGAAGGAGCGCUUGAAUUAUCUAGACGAGAGAAAUGAUGUGGAGAUAAGGAAGAGAAUAAA
rnacentral:lncRNA from 1 species